CGCUGGCGGCAGGCCUAACACAUGCAAGUCGAACGGUAGCACAGAGAGCUUGCUCUCGGGUGACGAGUGGCGGACGGGUGAGUAAUGUCUGGGAAACUGCCCGAUGGAGGGGGAUAACUACUGGAAACGGUAGCUAAUACCGCAUAACGUCUUCGGACCAAAGUGGGGGACCUUCGGGCCUCACACCAUCGGAUGUGCCCAGAUGGGAUUAGCUAGUAGGUGGGGUAAUGGCUCACCUAGGCGACGAUCCCUAGCUGGUCUGAGAGGAUGACCAGCCACACUGGAACUGAGACACGGUCCAGACUCCUACGGGAGGCAGCAGUGGGGAAUAUUGCACAAUGGGCGCAAGCCUGAUGCAGCCAUGCCGCGUGUAUGAAGAAGGCCUUCGGGUUGUAAAGUACUUUCAGUGGGGAGGAAGGCGAUGAAGUUAAUAGCUUCGUCGAUUGACGUUACCCGCAGAAGAAGCACCGGCU
rnacentral:rRNA from 1 species